AAUUAAACUGUAAACAUUUAAACAAAUUUGCAUUACACACUUUUUGCUGGUGUUUUUUUUUUCUUACUGGACAUCAUUUAUGUGCUAUGAAUUAUGAGGAAAUGGAAAGCUACCAUAUGGUCAUAACGCACUUGGCAGAAAUUCCUCUUUCUUUAUUUAGAAAUUUCCGUUCUAAUAAUUAAUACAAGUGCCUAUAUAAGCAUAUAUUUCAAAUUAAGAUGAGUAUAAAUACCCUUUCCAUGCAUAUACAUAGAUAUUGUCUUAUUUAAAUUUUAUAAACAAUAUAUAAUAAUAUUACGUAAUAAAUUACUUAGAUUACCCCGAGAAUUGGCUCGACCAGGGUUAUUUUUUUAGUCCGAAGGCCACCAACGCAGGAAGGAGUUUUACGCGAAAGUAUUUUAGUCACCACGGGUAUUGGCUCGACCAGCGUACUUUGUUCAUAAUGCCAAAAAUUUUAAUUUAUUCUUCAAAAUCUAUGUCAUCUACCACAAUGUAAUCCCGCUUGGCUAUUCUUCAAUGUGAGUAGCGAUUCACGAUUAAUGUCCUCAAUUGACUCAAAACGAUUUCCACGGAGCGGCCGUUUGAGUUUGCUGAGUUGUCAGAAGUCACACAGAGUUAAUUCAGUUGAACAUGGUGAUGGCGACAAGACACUAGUUGACAAUUUGGCUAAAAAUUCACGAAGAAUUAACGCAGUAUGCAACAGUGCCAUGUCGUGGUGCACAAACCAUACAUUUUACCAUUUUUCGAAUAGCUUUACGCAAAUGACGCAUAACAUAGAAUUUUUUGUUGACAGUUUAGCCGGUUGGAAGGAAUUCGGAAUACACCACACCUCGACAAUCGCAGAAAACUAUCAAUAUAACAUUGAUUUUUGGCCUCCUUUGACGUGGUUUACCUUUGCAACGAUAUUUGGCCGAUUGAUCAUCUGUUUCCCGGUUGUAAGCAUAGAUCCAUGACUCAUCUUCAGUAAUAAUACGUUUCAUGCCAUCCUGAUAGUCGGAAAGCAUUGUUUCACAGACGUCAACGCGACGCUGUUUUAUUAGGCAUAAAUGAUCUUGAUGAUGGUCUUCACUUAUCCUUGCGGUUUCGUUCUUUCCUGGUUUUAAUUAGGUCAUAUUUGAUGUGAAAUAUUGUCAAAAUAAUGAAAACGGGUAUCACGGUCAUAUAAAAUGACAACCAAAUGAAAACAAUCAAACUUCGAUUUGUAGCAGCAUUAGACAUUUAAAUUUGAUUUGCCGCGAUGUUGGUAAUUUGAUUUUGUUUGCCGUACGAACAGCUGCUAAAAAGGAUAACGUAUUUUCAAAUAGUUUUUUGACGAUUUCGAGUAACAUGGAACUUCCUUACCACUGAAUAUACAAACAGAACCCUUCGUGAGGCUCAAUAGCAUGAGGUGGCUGAAAUAUUAAAGAUGCGCCGAUCGGAAGUGGCAGCCAAAUGGAAUUCUUCCAGGCGGCCUUUAAUCGUAUAAGUCACACAAAAAGUGUACAAGUGCAGAAAGAGCGCCCACGAUGAGCCCGCUCUAUAUAUCAUUGAAGUUUCUAGAGCCGACUUAGCGUGAUGAAGCGAAUUUCACUUCAAAUCUAAUAAUUGGCAGUCCAUCAGCCUUGAGCUCUCCAACAACAUUGUUGGAAUCAGAAAUUAUAUCUAGGGAUAUACCAUCAAAGCCAUCCACAUCAUAUGGUAAUUUAUUAAACGUCGAGUGCAAAAAGUAUACUCAAGUAGUUGAAUGUGCGCUAGAAAUCUUCGCAUCAGCAACUAAAACAGAUGAUUGUCAUGAUUUAUGAGUUAUGAUGAUGAGAAUCUCCAUAAUUAACAAAGUAGUUCAAGCGGAACAUAUGUAUGUAUGUGAAUUGAUAUUCAACUACUAAAAGAGAUUAACAAGCUCCACAUCAUGCCGUUCAAAUUCGCAAAACUUUUUUUCUAUGCUAGUCAAAUGAAGUGUACUACUUUCCCUUUUUUAUAUUUUCUUCAACGUCAGAAAGCAAAUUUUUAAAAACCAAU
rnacentral:lncRNA from 1 species